UACGGAGGGAGCAAGCGUUACUCGGAAUUAUUGGGCGUAAAGGGCGCGUAGGCGAUUUGAAAAGUCUUGUGUGAAAGCCCCGAGCUUAGCUCGGGAAGUGCACAAGAAACUGUUGAAUUUGAGUUCCGGAGAGGAAGGCAGAAUUCCCGGUGUAGCGGUGAAAUGCGUAGAUAUCGGGAGGAAUACCAGUGGCGAAGGCGGCCUUCUGGACGGAUACUGACGCUGAGGCGCGAAAGCCAGGGGAGCAAACGGG
rnacentral:rRNA from 1 species